rnacentral:rRNA from 1 species
CUACGGGAGGCAGCAGGCGCGAAAACUUUACAAUGCUGGCAACAGCGAUAAGGGAACCUCGAGUGCCAGGUUACAAAUCUGGCUGUCGAGAUGCCUAAAAAGCAUUUCAUAGCAAGGGCCGGGCAAGACCGGUGCCAGCCGCCGCGGUAACACCGGCGGCUCGAGUGGUAACCGUUAUUAUUGGGUCUAAAGGGUCUGUAGCCGGCCGGAUAAGUCUCUUGGGAAAUCUGGCAGCUCAACUGUCAGGCUAUCAGGAGAUACUGUCUGGCUCGAGGCCGGGAGAGGUGAGAGGUACUUCAGGGGUAGGGGUGAAAUCUUGUAAUCCUUGAAGGACCACCAGUGGCGAAGGCGUCUCACCAGAACGGACCUGACGGCAAGGGACGAAAGCUAGGGGCACGAACCGGAUUAGAAACCCUGGUAGUCC